CCUACGGGCGGCAGCAGUGAGGAAUAUUGGUCAAUGGACGAGAGUCUGAACCAGCCAAGUAGCGUGACGGAUGACUGCCCUAUGGGUUGUAAACUUCUUUUAUAUGGGAAUAAUAUGUUCCACGUGUGGGAUUUUGUAUGUACCAUAUGAAUAAGGAUCGGCUAACUCCGUGCCAGCAGCCGCGGUAAUACGGAGGAUCCGAGCGUUAUCCGGAUUUAUUGGGUUUAAAGGGUGCGUAGGUGGAUUUUUAAGUUAGUUGUGAAAGUUUGCGGCUCAACCGUAAAAUUGCAGGUGAUACUGGCAGUCGUGAGUACAGUAGAGAUGGGCGGAAUUCGUGGUGUAGCGGUGAAAUGCUUAGAUAUCACGAAGAACUCCGAUUGCGAAGGCAGCUCACUGGACUGCAACUGACACUGAGGCUCGAAAGUGUGGGUAUCAAACAGGAUUAGAUACCCCAGUAGUC
rnacentral:rRNA from 1 species